GAACAGUACACCGUGUAUUUGCCACGAGUUCCGGCAUCAGAAUACGUAUCCGAUUCGCGCUCACGUCUGCCCAGCAAAGAACGGGAAAUCCACGAAAGUCUCUUUCGGAUAACGUUACUAAACGAUUAUGUGAUGCAUUCAGUUCUUCUAGAGAAGGAAGCCACGUCUAUACAGAAAUAUCAUGAUUAUAAAUAUGGAAAAAUUUAAUUCUUUAACAUUUCAAUAUAUGUUCAAUAUCUGAAUAAAUCAAAUAUUCUAAUAAAACUAUACAAUCAUUCGAUAAAAACACGUGUGUGAAUUAAUUUCAUGCAUAUUAUUGUACCUCUGAUGUAUCUUCAAGAGUGGUAAGCUCAUUAUGAGAAAGAUCGAGUACUUUUAGACCAUCGAGACCUCGUAGAUCGCGUUGACCAAUUGUUGGUCCUAAAGCAUUAUGACUUAGAUUCAACCUCUGCAAUUCCUUCAUUCCAAGAAACAAGGAACCAUCCAAGCUUCGUAGCUCGUUAUGCUGAAGUCGCAUA